UUUUUACUUUUAUUUUUUGUUUAGAUUUGUUUAUUUUUAAUAUAAGAAAAUUAAUGUUUUAUUAUUUUUUUAGAAAAAAUUUUUUUAAUUAUAGUUGAUUUGUAUCGUGAGAGAAUUUUGUUUAAAUUUUUAAAGGAAAAAUUUAAUUUUUGUACCUUGUGUAUCAGGGUUUAUUAAAAAAAAAUUAUUUAUUUAAUUUUCUCGAAUUCAGAAGAGCUAAUUAUUUAUUUAUUUUAUUGUUGAAUAAAUAUUUUCAAUAAAUAGUUAGAAAUGAAACGUUAUUCGUUUUUGAAUAUAUCUAGUUUUUUUAGAAAUAAAUUUAAUUUAGUCAGUUUUAAUUAAUUAACUAAAUUUUUAGUUUAUUAUUUGAAUUGAGAUAUACUUAAGGGGAUGAGCUUUUAAGUAAAAGAUUUAUAAAUUAUUUAUUUAUAUUGAAAUUGUAGGAUUAUAAGUUUCCGUCACUAAAAGAAUGUUAUAAUUUAUUUAGGGGGUUUUAUUAUUUAUAUUUAUUUUAAAUUUUUUAUAAAAAUUUAUUUUUUAAUUUUUUAUAAUUAGUAAUAAUGAUAAAAUUAGUAUAAUUUAUUUUAUUUUUAUUUAUAAAAUUUUAGGUUAAGCAAAGGAAUUCGGCAAAAGAUUUUUCACCCGUUUAUUAAAAACAUGGCCUUUUGAUAAUGAUUUAAGGUCUAGCCUGCCCACUGAGUAGUUAAAUGGCCGCGGUAUACCUGACCGUGCGAAGGUAGCAUGAUCACUAGUUUUUUAAUUGAAAGCUUGAAUGAAUGGUUGGAUGAGAAAAUAACUGUCUCUGUUUAAAUUUUUUGAAUUUUAUCUUUAAGUAAAAAAGCUUAGAUAUUAUUAAAAGACGAGAAGACCCUAUAGAGUUUAAUAAUUUUUUGUACUCGGGCUUUUAGUAUUAUCACCCUAAAAUAUAAAAAUUUAUUUGGUUGGGGAGAUUGAAAAAUUUAAUUAACUUUUUCUUUAUUUGAACAUUAAUUUAUGAUUAUUUGAUCCAUUUUUUUUGAUUAUAAGAUAAAAUUACCUUAGGGAUAACAGCGUAAUCUUUUCUGAGAGUUCCAAUCGAAGGGAAGGUUUGCGACCUCGAUGUUGGAUUAAAAUUAAUUUUGGGUGCAGAAGCUCGAAAUUUUAGGUCUGUUCGACCUUUAAAAUUUUACAUGAUCUGAGUUUAAACCGGUGUGAGCCAGGUUGGUUUCUAUCUUUAAUAAAAUCGGAUACUUUAGUACGAGAGGACCGAGUAUUUGGUAAUUUACUUUAAUUUUGAAUAUUAUU
rnacentral:rRNA from 1 species